rnacentral:lncRNA from 1 species
CUACUCCUGGAAUCAUUGUUGCACUAUCUGCUAACUAAUUUGGAUGUAAAUUAAAAAAAAAAAACCAAACAAUAAAAUGAAAAAAUAAAAAUACAUAAAAAUUAAAAAAAAAAAACUCUUGAGCUAGAAUAUUGGGUGGAUUCACAGAUCUGAGAGAGAGAUGAAAAGAGGAGAAAUUGCCGUCCAGAAAAGAAAUGCAUAAAGUACCUGUCCAUUGCUCACUCCUCACAUAGGAUCUACUGCGUAUUUUGUGGGGAUCACUGCAAAAUGGACACAGCAUGGCCCCUCGUUUAAAAAUUAUUAAGAAUUUGAAGUUGGCAGAAGCAGAGCACUAAACCAAGCAUGGACCCUUCUGAACGCAGAGCCCUAUGCAACUAUAUAGGUCACACGCCCACGACACCAUCCCCAUCCCCACACUUACACAUUGUCACCGUGAAGCAUAUGCUGCUGUGGGCCAGAACUUGGCAAUGAUCCCUUUUCCCUAGCAACGUCUCUCCCUGCCUGUGCCCGCUUGAUGGGGUCUUGGAAGCAUCCUAGAAGGGGGGAGAGAUUUGGAGCGGAUUGAAAAUGCCUCUACCUGAGCCCUGAUGGUGUCAUCAGCGAGUCAAUGUAUAAUGUAGCGUUUAAGGGCAAAUAUAGAACAUAUACGUAUAUAUAGAUUUUUUCUGUUGAUGCGAUUCUAUGUACUUACAGGAGUGUUGCCAUGGUGAUUGGCAGGGCCAGCUGUUGUUUCCUUUCCCCCAAAGAAUUGUAUGGUAAUGAUGGCCCCCUGGAGAGUUCCCCUGGGGCAAGGAAUGAUAUUAAAAAUCUGCAAAUCAAUGAACAGGCAUGCCCACCAAAUUGUGAUCAGAUCCACAAGUAAAGUUGGCUUUUGCAGCCACAGAAUACACGUCCUGUUUCCACUGGUCUGGGCGUUGCGACAACGAGGGUGCACAAGCUGCUGUGGAUAAGAAGUAGAAAGUUACGGAGCGCCUGGGUGGCGCAGUCGGUUAAGCGUCCGACUUCAGCCAGGUCACGAUCUCGCGGUCCGUGAGUUCGAGCCCCGCGUCCGGCUCUGGGCUGAUGGCUCAGAGCCUGGAGCCUGUUUCCGAUUCCGUGUCUCCCUCUCUCUCUGCCCCUCCCCUGUUCAUGCUCUGUCUCUCUCUGUCCCAAAAAUAAAUAAACGUUGAAAAAAAAAAAAAGAAGUAGA